GACGAACGCUGGCGGCGUGCUUAACACAUGCAAGUCGAGCGGUAAGGCCCUUUCGGGGUACGACGAGCGGCGAACGGGUGAGUAACACGUGGGUGACCUCGCCUCUAGCUCUGGGAGUAAGACCCGGGAAACCGUAGGGUCGUAAUACUGGAUAUGACUCCAUGACGCAUGUUGUGGGGUGGAAAGCCUUGUGCGGCUAGAGAUGGGCCCGCGCUAUCAGCUUGUUGGUGGGGUGAUGGCCUACCAAGGCGACGACGGUAGCCGGCCUGAGAGGGCGACCGGCCACACUGGGACUGAGACACGGCCCAGACUCCUACGGGAGGCAGCGAGUGGGGAAUCUUGCGCAAUGGGCGAAAGCCUGACGCAGCGACGCCGCGUGA
rnacentral:rRNA from 1 species